AACAAGGGCAAACCUGUCGAAAGGCAGGGACGCAAAGCCAGGGGUCUAAAGUCCGGUAUAUAAUUUGGAAAAUGAUAUACGGAAUAUGAUAGCCGGUUGCCGC
rnacentral:ncRNA from 1 species